AUUGAACGCUGGCGGAAUGCUUUACACAUGCAAGUCGAACGGCAGCACGGGGCAACCUGGUGGCGAGUGGCGAACGGGUGAGUAAUAUAUCGGAACGUGCCCAAUCGUGGGGGGAUAACGUAGCGAAAGUUACGCUAAUACCGCAUACGAUCUACGGAUGAAAGCGGGGGAUCGCAAGACCUCGCGCGAAUGGAGCGGCCGAUAUCAGAUUAGGUAGUUGGUGGGGUAAAGGCUCACCAAGCCAACGAUCUGUAGCUGGUCUGAGAGGACGACCAGCCACACUGGAACUGAGACACGGUCCAGACUCCUACGGGAGGCAGCAGUGGGGAAUUUUGGACAAUGGGCGCAAGCCUGAUCCAGCCAUUCCGCGUGCAGGAUGAAGGCCUUCGGGUUGUAACUGCUUUGUACGGUAACGAAACGGUACUGCCUAAUACGGCGGCGUAAUGACGGUACCGUAA
rnacentral:rRNA from 1 species